rnacentral:rRNA from 1 species
CCUACGGGCGGCAGCAGUAGGGAAUCUUCCGCAAUGGGCGAAAGCCUGACGGAGCAACGCCGCGUGAGUGAUGAAGGUCUUCGGAUCGUAAAACUCUGUUAUUAGGGAAGAACAUACGUGUAAGUAACUGUGCACGUCUUGACGGUACCUAAUCAGACAGCCACGGCUAACUACGUGCCAGCAGCCGCGGUAAUACGUAGGUGGCAAGCGUUAUCCGGAUUUAUUGGACGUAAAGGGCGCGUAGGCGGUUUUUUAAGUCUGAUGUGAAAGCCCUCGGCUCAACCGGGGAGGUGCAUUGGAAACUGGAAUGCUUGAGUGCAGAAGAGGAAAGUGGAAUUCCAUGUGUAGCGGUGAAAUGCGCAGAGAUAUGGAGGAACACCAGUGGCGAAGGCGGCUUUCUGGUCUGUAACUGACGCUGAUGUGCGAAAGCGUGGGGAUCAAACAGGAUUAGAUACCCGAGUAGUC